rnacentral:rRNA from 1 species
GUUAAGUUGAAGAGACGGAGCCGCAGGGAAACCGAGUCUUAAUAGGGCGACUUAGUAUCAUGUUGUAGACCCGAAACCAUGUGACCUACCCAUGAGCAGGUUGAAGGUGCGGUAAGACGCACUGGAGGACCGAACCAGGGCACGUUGAAAAGUGCUUGGAUGACUUGUGGGUAGCGGAGAAAUUCCAAACGAACUUGGAGAUAGCUGGUUCUCUCCGAAAUAGCUUUAGGGCUAGCGUCGAUGUUAAGUCUCUUGGAGGUAGAGCACUGUUUGGGUGAGGGGUCCAUCUCGGAUUACCAAUCUCAGAUAAACUCCGAAUGCCAACGAGAUAUAAUCGGCAGUCAGACUGCGAGUGCUAAGAUCCGUAGUCGAAAGGGAAACAGCCCAGACCACCAGCUAAGGUCCCAAAAUAUAUGUUAAGUGGAAAAGGAUGUGGGGUUGCACAGACAACUAGGAUGUUAGCUUAGAAGCAGCUAUUCAUUCAAAGAGUGCGUAAUAGCUCACUAGUCGAGUGACCCUGCGCCGAAAAUGUACCGGGGCUAAAACAUAUUACCGAAGCUGUGGAUACCUUUAUAGGUAUGGUAGGAGAGCGUUCUAUGUGUGAAGAAGGUGUACCGUGAGGAGCGCUGGAACGCAUAGAAGUGAGAAUGCCGGUAUGAGUAGCGAAAGACAGGUGAGAAUCCUGUCCACCGUAAGACUAAGGUUUCCAGGGGAAGGCUCGUCCGCCCUGGGUUAGUCGGGACCUAAGGCGAGGCCGAAAGGCGUAGUCGAUGGACAACUGGUUGAUAUUCCAGUACUAGAUAUGAUCGUGAUGGAGGGACGCAGUAGGCUAAGAGAUGCCAGUUAAUGGAUUCUGGUCUAAGCAGUGAGGUGUGAGAUGUGUCAAAUGCAUUUCUCUUUAACAUUGAGCUGUGAUGGGGAAGCAACUACGGUUGCGAACUCUCUGAUGUCACACUGCCAAGAAAAGCUUCUAGCGUAAAGUCAUAUCUACCCGUACCGCAAACCGACACAGGUAGUCGAGGCGAGUAGCCUCAGGUGAUCGAGAGAACUCUCGUUAAGGAACUCGGCAAAAUGACCCCGUAACUUCGGGAGAAGGGGUGCUGACUUAGGUCAGCCGCAGUGAAUAGGCCCAAGCAACUGUUUAUCAAAAACACAGCUCUCUGCUAAAUCGUAAGAUGAUGUAUAGGGGGUGACGCCUGCCCGGUGCUGGAAGGUUAAGAGGAGGGUUUAGCGUAAGCGAAGAUCUGAAUUGAAGCCCCAGUAAACGGCGGCCGUAACUAUAACGGUCCUAAGGUAGCGAAAUUCCUUGUCGGGUAAGUUCCGACCCGCACGAAAGGCGUAAUGAUUUGGGCACUGUCUCAACGAGAGACUCGGUGAAAUUUUAGUACCUGUGAAGAUGCAGGUUACCCGCGACAGGACGGAAAGACCCCAUGGAGCUUUACUGCAGUUUGAUAUUGAGUAUCUGUACCACAUGUACAGGAUAGGUAGGAGCCAUUGAAGUCGGGACGCCAGUUUCGACGGAGGCGUUGUUGGGAUACUACCCUUGUGUUAUGGCUACUCUAACCCGGAUAGGUUAUCCCUAUCGGAGACAGUGUCUGACGGGCAGUUUGACUGGGGCGGUCGCCUCCUAAAAGGUAACGGAGGCGCCCAAAGGUUCCCUCAGAAUGGUUGGAAAUCAUUCGCAGAGUGUAAAGGUAUAAGGGAGCUUGACUGCGAGAGCUACAACUCGAGCAGGGACGAAAGUCGGGCUUAGUGAUCCGGUGGUUCCGUAUGGAAGGGCCAUCGCUCAACGGAUAAAAGCUACCCUGGGGAUAACAGGCUUAUCUCCCCCAA